AUAAACAAAAACAAUAAUGUUACCAUGCCACCUACGUGGAACAGGUCAUUUUGAUGGCACCUUCCAUCCAUAGCCUUCCACACGCUUUCGGAGCGUCCACAGCAGUUAUCUCACCUGUGAUCCCCGCAGAGCUCUGGGGAGAUGGGUAAUGUGAGUGUGUGUUAUCCUACUUCACAGAUCAGGAAAGGAGGCCCGGGAGAGAAGGUGAUUCACUGCAGGUCCCACGGAGACCGAGCGAGAGUCUCGAGUGCGAAUCCGCGUCCAGCGCCCGUCCUUGGUGGCACGGUGCCGCAUUGCCCCCGUGCGCUGCUCUGUCUGAGGGUCCCACGGGCAGGCAUAGAGGGAAGGAUUCAGUUAUGAGUAAUAGCUGUUGCCGGAAGUGCCGAGAAGUGCGAGCUGGCGAUGCGCGAGGUGCCCAGCUCUGCGUGGACACAGCCAGGGCAGCCUGAAGGAGGCAGCGAGGACGCCGGUGGGCAGUGGCGGGGUGAACGUGGCCGUCGACGGGGGCGGAGGCGUCUUCCUGGAGGCCCUGCAGCCUGGCAUGGGAGGGCAGGAUCGUGGUGGUUGGAUUUACGGGAGGAAACAUUGCUUCUGUGCCAGCCAACCUUCUGCUCUUGAAGAACAUCUCUGCCAUGGAGGUGUCAUGUGGCCAGUACAGAGACAGAACCCUCCUGUCUCCUCCAAGACCUUACCUCCGCUCUCAGCACUGCCGGCAAGGGUUAAUGAUGCCUUCCUUCAUGUGAUACAGCACAAAUCCAUGGGCAAGGUGCUUCUCUCUCCUAAAUAAACCAUUACCUCAGCAGCAAACUCAGCAUGUCCAAAUCCAAACUCAUCAUCUUUCCCAAAAAUCUGAUUUCCCUUCUGUAUUUCCAAGGUGUUAUCACCUUCCUUACUAAUCCAGGUUUAAAAUCUUAGAGUCACCUUUGAUUCUGUUUUCUUAUUGCUCCUAAUUUAGUUUGAUUAUAUAGUUUAUUGUCCAAACUUGGACCUUUUUGAGAGUACUUUUAGUAACUACAGCAGGAAAAUGUACCCCAGGCCAAACCUGCAUGUAUGGCUGCCCUAUUUGUAAUGCACAAGUGCCCAGUUCUGUCAUUCCCAUCUCUAAGAUAGCUCUUACCUCCACAUCUCUUUUCCAUAUGACUUAAUUAUGUCUCACCUGCUAUCUCGACUGACCUUCUAACCAGUUUUCCUACCUUUAAAUUACCCCACUCCCUCCAUCCUUGUUGUACGUCAUUGCCAUGGUGAUCUUCCCAAAUCAUCGGUCUGACUGUGUCUCUUGUUAGAACACCC